rnacentral:snRNA from 1 species
GCACCUUUACCUUUACCUUUACUAAAAUUGGAACAAUACAGAGAACAUUGGCACGGCCUCUGCGCAAGGAU